GACGAACGCUGGCGGCGUGCUUAACACAUGCAAGUCGAACGGAAAGGCCCUGCUUUUGUGGGGUGCUCGAGUGGCGAACGGGUGAGUAACACGUGAGUAACCUGCCCUUGACUUUGGGAUAACUUCAGGAAACUGGGGCUAAUACCGGAUAGGAGCUCCUGCUGCAUGGUGGGGGUUGGAAAGUUUCGGCGGUUGGGGAUGGACUCGGGGCUUAUCAGCUUGUUGGUGGGGUAGUGGCUUACCAAGGCUUUGACGGGUAGCCGGCCUGGGAGGGUGACCGGCCACAUUGGGACUGGGAUGCGGCCCAGACUGCUACGGGAGGCAGCAGUGGGGAAUAUUGCACAAUGGGCGGAAGCCGGAUGCAGCAACGCCGCGUGCGGGAUGACGGCCUUCGGGUUGUAAACCGCUUUCGCCUGUGACGAAGCGUGAGUGACGGUAAUGGGUAAAGAAGCACCGGCUAACUACGUG
rnacentral:rRNA from 1 species